rnacentral:rRNA from 1 species
CCUACGGGGGGCAGCAGUGGGGAAUAUUGGACAAUGGGGGGAACCCUGAUCCAGCCAUGUCGCGUGUGUGAAGAAGGCCCUCGGGUUGUAAAGCACUUUCAGUGAGGAAGAACGCCUGGUGGUUAAUACCCAUCAGGAAAGACAUCACUCACAGAAGAAGCACCGGCUAACUCCGUGCCAGCAGCCGCGGUAAUACGGAGGGUGCGAGCGUUAAUCGGAAUUACUGGGCGUAAAGCGCGCGUAGGUGGCUUGAUAAGCCGGUUGUGAAAGCCCCGGGCUCAACCUGGGAACGGCAUCCGGAACUGUCAAGCUAGAGUGCAGGAGAGGAAGGUAGAAUUCCCGGUGUAGCGGUGAAAUGCGUAGAGAUCGGGAGGAAUACCAGUGGCGAAGGCGGCCUUCUGGACUGACACUGACACUGAGGUGCGAAAGCGUGGGUAGCAAACAGGAUUAGAUACCCGAGUAGUC